GACGAACGCUGGCGGCGUGCUUAACACAUGCGAGUCGAACGGAAAGGCCCUGCUUGCGGGGUACUCUCGUGUCGCAAGGGUGAGUAACACGUGGGUGUACUGCCCUGCACUUCGGGAUAAGCCUGGAGAACUCGGUCUAAUACCGGGUAGAGGCGCUUCUUAGUCUGAGGGUUGGAAAGAUUUUUUGGUGUAGGGGUGGCUCGCGGCCUAUCAACCUGUUGGUGGGGUAAUGGGCUACCAACGCGGCGUCGGGUAGCCAGCCGGGGGGGGUGGACGGGCACAUUGGGACUGGGAUACGGGCCAGAACUCCACGGGAGGCAGCAGGGGGGAAUAAUGCAAAAUGGGGGGGAGCCUGAUGCCGCGACGCCGCGGGGGGGAUGACCGCCUUCGGGUUGGAAACCCCUUUCCCUAUGGACGAAGCUGUUUGUGACGGUACCUAGAUAAGAAGCACCGGCUAACUACGUG
rnacentral:rRNA from 1 species